AUCCAGCUGACGAUUCUCAAAUAGGACGAAACGCGCGUCCUGGAU
rnacentral:hammerhead_ribozyme from 1 species